AGAGUUUGAUCCUGGCUCAGAUUGAACGCUGGCGGUAUGCUUAACACAUGCAAGUCGAACGGAAACGAAACUAGCUUGCUAGUAGGCGUCGAGUGGCGGACGGGUGAGUAACGCGUAGGAAUCUGCCUGAUAGUGGGGGAUAGCCCGAAGAAAUUCGGAUUAAUACCGCAUAAUCUAUUCGUAGUAAAGUGGGGGACUUUCGAGCCUCACGCUAUCAGAUGAGCCUGCGUAAGAUUAGCUUGUUGGUAGGGUAAAAGCCUACCAAGGCAACGAUCUUUAGCUGGUCUGAGAGGAUGAUCAGCCACAUCGGGACUGAGACACGGCCCGAACUCCUACGGGAGGCAGCAGUGGGGAAUAUUGGACAAUGGGGGCAACCCUGAUCCAGCAAUACCGCGUGUGUGAAGAAGGCCUGAGGGUUGUAAAGCACUUUCAAUUGUGAAGAAAAGUUAACGGUUAAUAACCGUUGACCUUGACGUUAACUUUAGAAGAAGCACCGGCUAACUCCGUGCCAGCAGCCGCGGUAAUACGGAGGGUGCAAGCGUUAAUCGGAAUUACUGGGCGUAAAGCGUGCGUAGGCGGUUUAUUAAGUCAGAUGUGAAAGCCCCGGGCUUAACCUGGGAACUGCAUUUGAAACUGGUCAACUAGAGUAUGGUAGAGGAAAGUGGAAUUUCUGGUGUAGCGGUGAAAUGCGUAGAUAUCAGAAGGAACAUCAAUGGCGAAGGCAGCUUUCUGGACCAAUACUGACGCUGAGGUACGAAAGCGUGGGUAGCAAACAGGAUUAGAUACCCUGGUAGUGCACGCCGUAAACGAUGAUAACUAGCCGUUGGGGGGAUUUACCCCUUAGUGGCGAAGCUAACGCGUUAAGUUAUCCGCCUGGGGAGUACGGCCGCAAGGCUAAAACUCAAAGGAAUUGACGGGGACCCGCACAAGCGGUGGAGCAUGUGGUUUAAUUCGAUGCAACGCGAAGAACCUUACCUGGUCUUGACAUCCUGCGAACUUUCUAGAAAUAGAUUGGUGCCUUCGGGAACGCAGUGACAGGUGCUGCAUGGCUGUCGUCAGCUCGUGUCGUGAGAUGUUGGGUUAAGUCCCGUAACGAGCGCAACCCCUAUCCUUAUUUGCCAGCACAUUAUGGUGGGAACUAUAAGGAGACUGCCGGUGAUAAACCGGAGGAAGGCGGGGACGACGUCAAGUCAUCAUGGCCCUUACGACCAGGGCUACACACGUGCUACAAUGGGAAGGACAAAGAGCCGCGAAGCCGCGAGGUGUAGCUAAUCUCAUAAAUCUUUUCGUAGUCCGGAUUGGAGUCUGCAACUCGACUCCAUGAAGUCGGAAUCGCUAGUAAUCGUAGAUCAGAAUGCUACGGUGAAUACGUUCCCGGGUCUUGUACACACCGCCCGUCAUACCAUGGGAGUGGGUUGCACCAGAAGUGGCUAGUCUAACUUUGUGAGGACGGUCACCACGGUGUGAUUCAUGACUGGGGUAAAGUCGUAACAAGGUAACC
rnacentral:rRNA from 1 species